rnacentral:rRNA from 1 species
UACGUAGGGGGCAAGCGUUAUCCGGAUUUACUGGGUGUAAAGGGGGCGCAGACGGCGAUGCAAGCCAGGAGUGAAAGCCCGGGGCCCAACCCCGGGACUGCUCUUGGAACUGCGUGGCUGGAGUGCAGGAGGGGCAGGCGGAAUUCCUGGUGUAGCGGUGAAAUGCGUAGAUAUCAGGAGGAACACCGGUGGCGAAGGCGGCCUGCUGGACUGCAACUGACGUUGAGGCCCGAAAUCGUGGGGAGCAAACAGG